rnacentral:rRNA from 1 species
UACGUAGGGUGCAAGCGUUGUCCGGAAUUAUUGGGCGUAAAGGGCUCGUAGGCGGUUUGUCGCGUCGGGAGUGAAAACACUGGGCUUAACCGAGUGCUUGCUUUCGAUACGGGCAGACUUGAGGCAUUGAGGGGAGAACGGAAUUCCUGGUGUAGCGGUGAAAUGCGCAGAUAUCAGGAGGAACACCGGUGGCGAAGGCGGUUCUCUGGGACGGUACUGACGCUGAGACGCGAAAGCGUGGGGAGCGAACAGG